rnacentral:misc_RNA from 1 species
GAUGAAGAACGUAGCGAAAUGCGAUAAGUAAUGUGAAUUGCAGAAUUCAGUGAAUCAUCGAAUCUUUGAACGCACAUUGCGCCCCCUGGUAUUCCGGGGGGCAUGCCUGUUCGAGCGUCAUUUCACCACUCAAGCCUCGCUUGGUAUUGGGCAACGCGGUCCGCCGCGUGCCUCAAAUCGACCGGCUGGGUCUUCUGUCCCUUAAGCGUUGUGGAAACUAUUCGCUAAAGGGUGUUCGGGAGGCUACGCCGUAAAACAACCCCAUUUCUAAGGUUGACCUCGGAUCAGGUAGGGAUACCCGCUGAACUUAAGCAUAUCAAUAAGCGGAGGA